CUGGAUGACUGUUUUCCUCCUUCUAUAGUCCACCACCAUCUCCUUUGUCUUUGAGGUGUUGAGGAUCAAAUUGUUCUCCCUACACCAGACCGACAACCGCUGCACCUCCUUUCUAUAGGCGGACUCAUCCUCACCAGAAAUGAUCGAAAGAGCACACG